GGGUGUGAUCAUACCAGCAUUAAUGCACUAGAUAUCAUCAUAACUUUGCAGUUAAGUGUGCUUGGGCUAGAGUAGUACUAGGAUCGGUGACCUCCUGGGAAUUCCUAGUGUUGCACCCU
rnacentral:rRNA from 1 species